AUACCCAUAAAACCACCAAAGGUAUCGUUUUGAUCUGUGGGUUUUAUUUCAGGGACAACUACAUACUUCUGCAAGCAAUAAUAGCUAGCAUUAUCUGUUACAUGUCUCUUCCAUUGAUGACGAUUAACAGUAUACCUCUGUGGAACACGAAAGGACUCGUUGCAUUAAUUGUGCUACAUGUGACCUUCUCAGAGCCAUUAUACUACUUUCUUCACAGAACUUUUCAUAGUAACACCUACCUCUUCACGCAUUACCACUCCUUCCAUCACUCAUCUCCUGUGCCACAUCCCAUGACUUGUACAUUUUCAUCACUAAUAACCUUAUUCAAAAAUUCAUUCUUGUUUGUUGUAAUAUAACAAUAUUUUAUCUAUUGGGUGCAGCUGGAAAUGCGACGUUACUGGAAAGCCUUAUCCUCUGCGUCGUAGCUGGAGUUCCUUUGGUUGGAUCUUGCUUGCUAGGUGUUGGAUCAUUAGGGUUGAUCUACGGAUAUGCUAUUAUGUUUGAUUUCCUAAGAUGUUUAGGACAUUGUAACGUUGAAAUCUUCUCUCACAAGCUAUUCGAGACACUUCCAAUCCUUCGAUAUCUCAUCUACACUCCUACGUAUGCCGUUGACACUUUUAUUACCCUUUCGGCAAAGUAUUCACAUGUCAUUUUUCUUUUUGGAUUUGGUUAGGACACAUAAACAUGACUUAAUUUUGUCUUCUUUUUUUUUUUUACUUUAAGAAGCAAAAUUGCCAAGAUUGUAUUAGCUAUGAAAUAUGCCUAUCGAAAGUAAUUGGUGGUGUUACAUUUUUAGUUGCAUCACAAUGAUUUUACAGUGUAAUGAUUUAAAAAAUAUCUUUAAAAAGUUGAUUUUCUUGGUGGGGUUUAUGCAGGUACCAUAGUCUGCAUCAUCAUGAGAUGGGGACCAACUUUUGUCUAUUCAUGCCUAUCUUUGAUGUCUUGGGCAACACACUUAACUCAAACUCGUGGGGACUCCAAAAGAAGAUUCGCUUGUCUGCAGGUAAAUAUAGCAAACCUACUCCACGCAGUUUUUGUUUUUGUUUUUGUUUUUGUUUUGCAUAUCUAGCCCAAAGCCUGAACACACGAAUCUGUUACUAGACUAGUUGAAUGAAUGAAUACCAAACAGUUUAAUGGCAAUUUAUGAGGGACAUUAGUAGAAAUAGAGUUUGUACUUUGUGCAACCAAAGUGGGUGAGAAUUUUCUAUUUCUGGUCAAAGUCAAACCUCUUGAGCCAAAAGACAUUGUUACCCCUUCUUUAACCUGAAAACUACAGUUUUGUUUUAACUAACUUUGAUGUCCGUGUGUAGGGGAACGGAAGAGAGUGCCGGAGUUUGUGUUCUUGGCUCACGGGGUAGAUGUGAUGUCGGCGAUGCAUGCUCCGUUUGUGUUCAGAUCGUUUGCUUCAAUGCCAUACACAACGAGGCUCUUCUUGCUGCCCAUGUGGCCAUUCACGUUCAUGGUGAUGUUGGGCAUGUGGGUCUGGUCAAAGACUUUUCUUUUCAGCUUCUAUACCCUCAGGAACAAUCUUUGCCAGACUUGGGGAGUUCCAAGAUUCGGGUUCCAAGUAAAUGCCUCUGCUUUUUUUUCAGUUUUACCCUCUAAAAACAGACAGAACAGAGUGUUUUUACAGAGCAUUUUCCUCUGUUUUUGCAGUACUUUUUACCGAUUGCUAAACAAGGAAUUAACAACCAGAUCGAGAAUGCGAUUCUUAGGGCUGAUAAGAUUGGUGUUAAAGUUAUAAGCUUGGCUGCUUUGAACAAGGUUUGUGUCGGAACCGAAGUCUCAAAAAAAAAGUCUGAAACUUUUGAGUCAAGUCACUAAAAGGGUUGGUUUUGUUUGAGUGUUUGCUCAGAACGAAGCUCUAAAUGGUGGUGGGACGUUGUUUGUCAACAAGCAUCCUGACCUUAGAGUUCGUGUGGUCCACGGGAACACAUUAACCGCAGCAGUGAUUCUUAAUGAGAUUCCAAAAGAUGUGAAAGAGGUGUUCUUGACAGGAGCCACUUCUAAGCUGGGAAGAGCCAUCGCUCUCUACCUCUGUCGUCAGGGAGUGAGAGUUCUCGUAAGUUUUUUUUACUAAUGUCUCGAAUGUACGGUUUAAUAUAGUAUCCCAAAGUCUGACAUAUGUUGGAACCAAUUGACAGAUGUUGACACUAUCGGUGGAAAGAUUCCAAAAGAUUCAGAAAGAAGCUCCUGUUGAGUUCCAGAACUACCUUGUACAAGUGACCAAAUACAACGCUGCUCAAAACUGCAAGGUAGUGUAUUUGAGUUCUAACUGGUUUUCAUUUGUUGUGUAAAUGUAAAUGUAUUGACUUUGGGGUGUUUGAAUUAUGUAUAAUGCAGACUUGGAUCGUUGGGAAAUGGUUAACGCCAAGGGAGCAGAGCUGGGCUCCUAAAGGAACGCAUUUCCACCAGUUUGUGGUGCCACCAAUCCUCAACUUCAGGAGGAACUGCACUUACGGGGAUCUAGCUGCAAUGAGGCUCCCUGAAGAUGUUCAAGGGCUAGGAACCUGCGAGGUUUAAAGAAUGUUUGGUUUACAAUAGUCUUGAUUGUCUCUUUAGCCCUUUGGUACACCUGACUAAAACUUUAUGUGUGUAUGUUGUGGCAGUACACAAUGGACAGAGGGGUGGUGCAUGCAUGCCAUGCAGGAGGAGUGGUUCAUAUGCUGGAAGGUUGGGAGCAUCAUGAGGUCGGAGCCAUUGACGUUGACCGUAUUGAUUUGGUGUGGGAAGCAGCCAUGAGACACGGCCUUCGCUCUGUUUCUUCACUCACAAGAUGAGUGAGAUGUGCUCUUAAAUUGUUAUCUUUGACUCUCCCAAGAUUGGUCAUUCUUUGUAAAGGUGAAGCAUGCAAGCAGGUUGAAAAAAAUAAGUAGAAUUUUCACCGUAUGUUAUUGUUUCACCUUUUAUUUAAGAUGUAUUUCACUUUAUAACAAUUUCCCUAAAUAGUAUCGACAAAGCUUUUAAUUAUCCAGCCUGAUCACUCCUCUGGUGGUACUUGGUAGUUAGGACAAUGAAAGAACAAAGUGUCUUCAAUGUUCCUGUCCUGUACUCACAUUUGAUUUUAUUAGAGACAAUGUUACUUUGAAGCCCCCUGCUUUAAAGAUGAAAUAAUGGACCAAAGAGCUUGCUUUUGGCUUCUAAAUCAAACCAAUUGUUGAUACUUUAUUACAAACAUCUGCUUGAGUACUAAAAAGAAUGCAGAAGAAAGAGAUUAUUUUACCACACAGAAAAAAAAAGAAACUCUCCUAAUUAGAAAGACCAUCAUGAUGGUGAUUAACCCUUGAAACGUUCCCAAAAGGUGGCCAAGAAGAUCAAUAGGUGAGAGAUGAGAAGAAGAAUGGAGAUGACUAUCAAGAAGACACCUAGCUGCCACCAUUUCCUCCUUACAGAUCUUACGAAUCCUAACUUGCAAGACCUACAAUCAUAACACAACACGCUCCAAUCAUUCCUCCACAGCUGACAGUCACUUAGUCUUCCGACCAUGCCCCCGUACAGCACCUCCGUCUUCAAUGGUUGUCCCUCGUCUUUUCUUCUAUACCAAAACGUCGUGUUUAAAGCGUCCAUGUUGCAUGUCUCUGGAGGCAUGCAGCAUCCAUUCUACAAGAACAACAAAUAUCAAAACAACUUGUGUAAUUAACCUACUAGUUUAAAGAUCCUAUGGUACAUGAUCCUCUCAAACUAUUUGAAAAUCUUGUAAACAUGAUAAUAUGAUAUAUACAUUAUUCAUUUGAUAAUUGUGGAUUCUAAUAUUUUGGAGAUACAAUUUAAUAAGAAUUUUUAACGAUAUAUUUAUGUAUAUUAACUAUAAAACUUUUAUGGAUUAUACGUAAAUGUUUCAAUUACCUAUGUCAUCAUGCAUGUUAGAAUGCACCGGAUGCACAUGGUAAAAGAUGGUUAUGAUCUCAAACUGUAAGAAUAUCUACAAUGAACAAACCUUUAUUGGUGGCAAUUUUCUUCUAUUAUAAGGUUUAUCUUUUGGAGAUCCAUAAACAAGCUCGUUGCAUGCACCUUUAUCGUAGACACACGAUUUGAUAUUGUUCCAGUUUACAUUAUCCAUCACUUUGAGUUUAAACCACGUCCCAGUCGCCGGAAACCGCCUGGUCUGCAUCUCGUUGACUCCGGCGUACGCCAGACCGAUGAAUAGCAUUAGCAAAAGGAUCACAAACAUCACAACGAGUGCUGGCAUCGGAAACUUCCGUCGGAGAAACAGAGCUACAUUGCUGACGACGAAGACGGCGAGGAGACCGACGCUCGCGAUUGUCUGGAUACGUGGCAGACCGAGGAUAUCUUCGCAGUCGUAGCUACGCAUGUAGAGGAGCCACACAGCGUAGCCGAGGAGUGUAAGAGAUAGAAAGAAGGUGCAGAUGGGAAGUACCCCGAUGGCGAAAAGGUUCAUGAUUGUGACCAAUGUUCCAGCGGGUGGCUUAUCGCUUUGUGACUCCAUCUGGUCGGAGCUUUUUGCUUCUGGCUCACUCGUUGUUGUUAUUGCGGUUGCCGUGGCGGUGGUGGUUGCAGCUGGUUCCUCAACGGGUACUACUUGGGCACUAUCAGCCAUGGAGAAAGUGAAAGAAAUGUCUCUAUGGAGGUGUUUUGUUUGACAUUAGGAAUGUAUAAAAGAGAAAGAUCAUAAGUAUAGGUGUAUCAGGGGUGGGUUUUACAGAGUCAAAUGUAAGUUGGAGAGAAAUCCGGACACUUUGAUUAAGUACAAGCUGAUCCUGACCGAAUAUUUUGCUAUAUUCAAGCCCUUUUUGGUCUUUUUAGUCGGUAUGGAUUUAUCCCCUGUUCUAAAAAUCGGUCCGAUUCAUGCCAAAUCGGUGAAAAAAAAAAUCAUGCCAUAUCCGAUUUUUUUCCGCCUAGACCGCCUAAAUGACCGCCUAGCCGCCUAAAUGACCGCCUAGCCGCCUAGGCGGCCGCCUAAUCAAUUUUUUUUGGCCAUCCUAGUUUAAAUGCUUAUAUAAAUAACCAGAGCUCGAUGCUCUCAAUAAUGUCACAUAACACACAACUUUCAACCCAAAAAAAAAAAUCUCCAUACCUUUUCUUGAGAUUAGAGAGAACCCUAUCGUUAGAUCUCUCCAUCUCUCUCUCUUUGUUUUGACUUCCACAAACAGAGCAACAUCUUUCUCUUAGUAUUGCUUGAAACUGGAGCAAUCUUUAAGGUUAUAUAGACCAAUAAGAGUGAGAGAAGAUCUAGUCAUAAACAAAUCAAGAAAUUUCUAACUUCGAGGAGGUAACGAAAAGGGUUUAAGAGAAUAAGAAUGGUAGCUUUUUCAGCUUGGCCUUGGGGAAACUUUGGCAAUCUAAAGGUUUGAUCUGACUUCUCAAAAGGUCUGGUUUCUCGUGUGAAUCUCAUAUGUGUUUUUCUUGUCUGUGUAGUAUCUUCUCUACGCUCCGUUAGCUGCACAAGUAGUGUACUCAUGGGCGUACGAACAAGACUACUCGAGGGCUCUUUGGUGUCUUCAUAUCCUCAUCAUCUGUGGACUCAAAGGAUUCCUUCAUGUUCUUUGGAGCGUUUACAACAACAUGCUUUGGGCGUCUCGCACUCUAAGGAUUAACCCUAAUGGCGUCGACUUUAAGCAGAUUGAUCACGAAUGGCACUGGUAAAUCCCUCUCAAGUAACAUUUUGGGUACAUAUUAUAAUAAUAAUAAUAACUUGUCCUAAAAUCAAUAUUUUUAAGAUGUUACUCUGUUCUUGCUAUGGUCUUAAAUACCCAUAAAACCACCAAAGGUAUCGUUUUGAUCUGUGGGUUUUAUUUCAGGGACAACUACAUACUUCUGCAAGCAAUAAUAGCUAGCAUUAUCUGUUACAUGUCUCUUCCAUUGAUGACGAUUAACAGUAUACCUCUGUGGAACACGAAAGGACUCGUUGCAUUAAUUGUGCUACAUGUGACCUUCUCAGAGCCAUUAUACUACUUUCUUCACAGAACUUUUCAUAGUAACACCUACCUCUUCACGCAUUACCACUCCUUCCAUCACUCAUCUCCUGUGCCACAUCCCAUGACUUGUACAUUUUCAUCACUAAUAACCUUAUUCAAAAAUUCAUUCUUGUUUGUUGUAAUAUAACAAU
rnacentral:lncRNA from 1 species